rfam:Rattus norvegicus 4 BAC CH230-172C22 (Children's Hospital Oakland Research Institute) complete sequence.
UUUGGGGGCGGUGUUUACAGACUGGACUGAUUCUUCUCUGUCGCCGCCCUGCUCUAUGCUGGGUUUCCGAGCCACCGAAGUUUUCCAGCUAUGUUCAGAAAACGAAAACACAGCUCAGGAAGCCUCCACCAGCAGUUGCCUAUGCCAGUUCACCUCUGGCAGUGGCUGUACUGCUGGUCCACGCAGCAGCCAAGACCAGCUCCACGUUCUUCCCUCCCCCUCAGUUCACUGGAGCCGGGAGCCCUGCACUCAGGGAAAGGGCCUCAGCUCUACAGACUGCCAAAGUCCGCUGUGUCCCUCCGCUCCAAAAAUGGUGAGAAAGGAACCCAUCUUUUUCACAGAGGAACCGGGAACAG